GUCUCUUUUCUUCCUCUCUUUCUUUUUCUGUUUCUUUUUCUGCUUUUCUUUUCUCUUUUUCCAUUUUAAUCCUAGAAACAAUAUCAGGAAACUUCCUCUGAGUCAAAGGAAAGAGCCAAGGCAAAGAGCCACUCCUUCUACACAUACUUCUCCCUUCUUCUCUUGUUAGA
rnacentral:ribozyme from 13 species